rnacentral:tRNA from 1 species
GGCUUGUUGGUCUAGGAGUAUGAUUCUUGCUUAGGGUGCGAGAGGUCCCGGGGUUCAAAUCCUGGACAAGCCC